rnacentral:lncRNA from 1 species
UUGGGAGAAGCUGUGAGCUUGCAAUCAAUGCUUAGAGAGCUGCAUCUGACCCUCCCCUCCUUGACUAAUUGCUUCCAUAUGCUGACAUGGGGUGAUUUUGCUGGUCUGAGGAGUCAUAAAGGAGGGGGUGGAAGGUACAGCCCCUUUCCCCAGCCCAGCCGGAGCAGCUCUGGGACACUCAGCCUUCCUGCCAGGCAGAGAAACUGUCUUUUUCAUCUGAUAUCAUGGGUGAGAGAAGGCUACACAGAGCCUUAAACUUGCAAAAGGGAUUUGUGAGCAGCCUGCUUGUCAAGAACAAAUACUAGUCAAAAGAAAUGUGUGACUUAUUGACCUUGGGUUCACUGAACCUUCAUCUUGAUGCUUCCGUACCACUAAGGAAUCGGCUUCUCUGAAAAUUAAAGUUCCCAGAUUAGAAUAGAAGCUUCAACAAAGGACCUGUGUGGCUUUGCAAAUACACAUCGAUUAGAGGACUUUGGAAGAGCUUUGUUAGAAAAGUGGAAUUAUGAAAAGCAAAUGUUUGAGAGAAGAUAAGAAGAAUAGUGAAUGGCCUCAGACAAGACACACAAUGAAGCUUCCAGCAAUGCUCCUGAAGUGCCUUGGGAGAGUUGAUGGUGGGCACACAGAGGAACCAGCUGCAGUUUGGGCUGCCUGUGGUACUCAGAACUGCACUGGCUCUGAAGCUUGUAACCAACCAGGCAGAGGUGAAAAAAGGUCAGGAAGAAUCUUGCUGUUCCCAGUGUCUGUCAAUUUGGUGCAGAACAACAGAUGUACCUUCCCUCUGGUGUGCUGGGUGACUCUUGUGCUUGGUGAUAUCCUGGGUGUCUGUGGGCAAACACACAAAUUAAAGAGAGGAGGAGGGAGCUGUGUGCCCUGCUUAAGCAGUGUCUGCCUGGCUCUGGGUAGGCUGUGGAGGAUGCAGGUAGGCAAGCAGAUACAGCUAUCUUCUGGGGGGCAAAUCUUUGUGUGAGAAUCCCUUCCCAGCCAGAGAAACCUCUGUGGGCUCCUCAGUGUGUGUAGCAUUAACUCACACAGUUCACAUUGAAAAGGAUGUUAAAAGAGUUCUUAAAAAUAAUUACACAUAAUCAUCCUUUUCUCUGUCUUCAUGCUUUAAAAAUAAUUUAUUUGCCCUGAUUAGUGCAGGUAAGACUCAGAACUGAGCUGAGCCCUCCUUUAGAUAAUCCUGCUCCCAUGUGGCUGCAUUGUUCACCCCAGUCUGUGCGAGAGGCAGCUUAAAGGCUUGGGUUCCCCUUCCUGACACCAUUAAAAUGAAGCCUGGAGCCUGUCCCCGUGUGGGUGGUGGGAUGCUGGGCAGGGGGAAGGGGGCUGUGCCUGGGGGAGAAGGAGGAAACCCUCCUGGCUGGCUGGGAAAAGAGAAGGAAAACAGAGCAUGACCUAGGGGGCUGCUGUCGUUGCCUGUAAAGGCUCUGUUACUUCUUUUCCCUUCUGCUAUUUCUGCAUUGUGCAUUACUCCGUGGAAAAGAUCCUGUAGCAUCAGCUCCCUCCCUGCUCCAGACAGAUGAUAACUG